GAUGAACGCUGGCGGCGUGCCUAAUACAUGCCAGUCGAGCGAACAGACGAGGAGCUUGCUCCUCUGACGUUAGCGGCGGACGGGUGAGUAACACGUGGAUAACCUACCUAUAAGACUGGGAUAACUUCGGGAAACCGGAGCUAAUACCGGAUAAUAUAUUGAACCGCAUGGUUCAAUAGUGAAAGACGGUUUUGCUGUCACUUAUAGAUGGAUCCGCGCCGCAUUAGCUAGUUGGGAAGGUAACGGCUUACCAAGGCAACGAUGCGUAGCCGACCUGAGAGGGGGAUCGGCCACACUGGAACGGAGACACGGUCCAGACUACUAAGGGAGGCAGCAGUAGGGAAUCUUCCGCAAUGGGCGAAAGCCUGACGGAGCAACGCCGCGUGAGUGAUGAAGGUCUUCGGAUCGUAAAACUCUGUUAUUAGGGAAGAACAAAUGUGUAAGUAACUAUGCACGUCUUGACGGUACCUAAUCAGAAAGCAACGGCUAACUACGUG
rnacentral:rRNA from 1 species